rnacentral:rRNA from 1 species
AUUGAACGCUGGCGGAAUGCUUUACACAUGCAAGUCGAGCGGCAGCACGGGGGCAACCCUGGUGGCGAGCGGCGAACGGGUGAGUAAUAUAUCGGAACGUGCCCAGUCGUGGGGGAUAACUGCUCGAAAGAGCAGCUAAUACCGCAUACGACCUGAGGGUGAAAGCGGGGGAUCGCAAGCCCUCGCGCGAUUGGAGCGGCCGAUAUCAGAUUAGGUAGUUGGUGGGGUAAAAGCCUACCAAGCCAACGAUCUGUAGCUGGUCUGAGAGGACGACCAGCCACACUGGGACUGAGACACGGCCCAGACUCCUACGGGAGGCAGCAGUGGGGAAUUUUGGACAAUGGACGCAAGUCUGAUCCAGCCAUGCCGCGUGCGGGAAGAAGGCCUUCGGGUUGUAAACCGCUUUUGUCAGGGAAGAAAAGGUUCUGGUUAAUACCUGGGACUCAUGACGGUACCUGAAGAAUAAGCACCGGCUAACUACGUGCCAGCCGCCGCCGUAAAAC